rnacentral:rRNA from 1 species
GACGAACGCUGGCGGCGUGCCUAAUACAUGCAAGUCGAGCGCAGGAAAUCGACGGAACCCUUCGGGGGGAAGUCGACGGAAUGAGCGGCGGACGGGUGAGUAACACGUAAAGAACCUGCCCUCAGGUCUGGGAUAACCACGAGAAAUCGGGGCUAAUACCGGAUGGGUCAUCGGACCGCAUGGUCCGAGGAUGAAAGGCGCUUCGGCGUCGCCUGGGGAUGGCUUUGCGGUGCAUUAGCUAGUUGGUGGGGUAAUGGCCCACCAAGGCGACGAUGCAUAGCGGACCUGAGAGGGUGAUCGGCCACACUGGGACGGAGACACGGCCCAGACUCCUACGGGAGGCAGCAGUAGGGAAUCUUCCACAAUGGACGAAAGUCUGAUGGAGCAACGCCGCGUGAACGAUGAAGGCCUUCGGGUCGUAAAGUUCUGCUGUAAGGGAAGAACAAGUGCCGCAGGCAAUGGCGGCACCUUGACGGUACCUUGCGAGAAAGCCACGGCUAACUACGUGCCAGCCGCCGCAGUAA